rnacentral:rRNA from 1 species
AUGUCCUUCGAUGGCGGUGGACUGCUUUUAGUAUCUACACCGCUAGAUCUUGCUACCUUGCACUCUUUCACAGCUCAAUCACGGACUCCUUUACGAAUCAAGGUAUUCACCUGGCUCGUGCUACAGAAUCGUUGCUGGAUGGUGGAUUGUCUUGCUCGAUGUGGCCUUCCCCAUGAGGAGCGGUGUGUGUGCUAUGUGAUCAGAUUCUCGAAGACAUGCGACACCUUCUCGUUGGUUGCCCCUUCUCCUGUCAGGUGUGGCAUGAGGUGCUCUCAUGGUGCCGAUCCACGACCACUCUUUCGUGGCCGGUAA